rnacentral:rRNA from 1 species
CCAGACUCCUACGGGAGGCAGCAGUCGGGAAUAUUGCACAAUGGAGGAAACUCUGAUGCAGUGACACCGCGUAUAGGAAGAAGGUUUUCGGAUUGUAAACUAUUUUAGACAGGGAAGAAAAAAGACAGUACCUGUAGAAUAAGCUCCGGCUAACUACGUGCCAGCAGCCGCGGUAAUACGGAGGGUGCGAGCGUUAAUCGGAAUUACUGGGCGUAAAGCGCUCGUAGGCGGUAUGUCAAGUCAAGGGUGAAAUCCCCGCGCUCAACCUGGGAACUGCAUUCGAAACUGGCAGGCUGGAGUCUUGUAGAGGGGGGUAGAAUUCCAGGUGUAGCGGUGAAAUGCGUAGAGAUCUGGAGGAAUACCGGUGGCGAAGGCGGCCCCCUGGACAAAGACUGACGCUCAGGUGCGAAAGCGUGGGGAGCAAACAGGAUUAGAUACCCCCGUA